rnacentral:rRNA from 1 species
UGCAGUCGUACGAUGAAGCUGGAGCUUGCUCCAGUGGAUUAGUGGCGAACGGGUGAGUAACACGUGAGAAAUCUGCCCUUGACUCUGGGAUAACUGCGGGAAAUUGUAGCUAAUACCGGAUACUUUCCUCGGUGGGCAUCCACUGGGGAAGAAAGAAUUUCGGUCAAGGAUGAUCUCGCGGCCUAUCAGCUAGUUGGUGAGGUAAUGGCUCACCAAGGCGACGACGGGUAGCCGGCCUGAGAGGGUGACCGGCCACACUGGGACUGAGACACGGCCCAGACUCCUACGGGAGGCAGCAGUGGGGAAUAUUGCACAAUGGGCGCAAGCCUGAUGCAGCAACGCCGCGUGAGGGAUGAAGGCCUUCGGGUUGUAAACCUCUUUUAGCAGGGAAGAAGCGAAAGUGACGGUACCUGCAGAAAAAGCACCGGCUAACUACGUGCCAGCAGCCGCGGUAAUACGUAGGGUGCAAGCGUUGUCCGGAAUUAUUGGGCGUAAAGAGCUCGUAGGCGGUUUGUCACGUCUGCUGUGAAAAUCCAAGGCUCAACCUUGGACUUGCAGUGGGUACGGGCAGGCUAGAGUGCGGUAGGGGAGAUGGGAAUUCCUGGUGUAGCGGUGGAAUGCGCAAUAUCAGGAGGAACACCAAUGACGAAGGCACAUCUCUGGGCCGUA